rnacentral:misc_RNA from 1 species
GGGAAGUGUGCAAUUUUCCGUGGAGGAUACAAUAGAGACCGUAACACAACACCAGUCGCCGGUCGGCGUUUGACAGACGAACUGAAAAAUAACCAAUCGACGAGAUGGCCAAAACGAAGCAUCAAAAAUCCAAACCUAACAAACAACCUCAUGCUAAAAAGCAUGGAAAGCAGGCUGAUAUUUCUGAAUUUCGAGCUCAGCUUGAUGCAUUGGGCUUAAAGAUUAUACAAGUGAC